rnacentral:ncRNA from 1 species
UAUAGAAAAAAGCAAACCUUUGGAAACAAAGGGACGCAAAGCUAUAGGGCCUGUAAGAUGGUAGCCAGUUGCCGAA